AAUGCAAGAAUCAAGCGAGACGCCGCGGACGGAGACCGUGAAAGAUCCCACCCGGGCGACCGCCCACUCCGCUUCACCGAGUAAGUGAAGCGACCAUGAAAGUAGUGGUAUUUCAUCGUCGACGGACCCGAAAGCCCGUCUCCCACUUAUGCUACACCUCUCAUGUCACUCCACAAUGCCGAACUAGAGUCAAGCUCAACAGGGUCUUCUUUCCCCGCUGACGAAACAAGGCCCGUUCCCCUUGCAGUGGAGGAGCGAUUCUGACGUGCAAAUCGAUCGUCGAGUUGGGUAUAGGGGCGAAAGACUAAUCCAACCAUCUAGUAGCUGGUUCCCCCCGAAGUUUCCCUCAGGAUAGCUGGUGCUCGCAAAGAGAACAAACGGAGUUUCAUCCGGUAAAGCGAAUGAUUAGAGGCCUUGGGGUCGAAACGACCUCAACCUAUUCUCAAACUUUCAAUGGGUGAGAAGCCCGGCCUUUUUCCUUGAUUGAGGCCGCGGCAAUUGAUUUGAAUCUGAGCGCCCAGUGGGCCAUUUUUGGUAAGCAGAACUGGCGCUGUGGGAUGAAACAAACGCCCGGUUAAGGCGCCUAAACGACGCACAUUUCGGAUCCCACGAAAAGGAGUUGGUUGCUAAAGACAGCAGGACGGUGGCCAUGGAGGUCGGAAUCCGCUCAGGAGUGUGUAACAACUCACCUGCCGAAGCAACUAGCCCUUAAAAUGGGAGGCGCUAUAGCGUCGUGCCUAUACCGGGCCGUCGGUCGGCAGAGCGAAUAACGUCCGUGUCAGCUCGAAGAGAGCGACGGCGCUGAGGCCCCGACGAGUAGGGGGGUCGCGACGGUGAGCGUAGAAGGGUUGUGGGCGUGAGCCUGCCCGGAGCCGCCGUCGGUGCAGAUCUUGGUGGUAGUAGCAAAUACUCCAGAGGGAUCCUGGAGGACUGACGCGGAGAAGGGUUUCAUGUGAACAGUGGUUGGACAUGAGUCAGUCGAUCCUAAGCCGCAGGCGAAAGCCGACCUAGUGACGGGCGUGAUGUGUUGCAUCUAUCGUAUGAGUAACGGGCGUGGUUGUGGUUGAGUCGUGUGUGGGUGAUUCUUCUGUUGUGUGCGCGAAGAGAAAAUGUAAAGUUGCGGGGUCAAAGAAAACACAUGAAUAAGAAAGCUUGUGAGAAUGAUAGAAGGUUAAAGAAGUGUCUUUUUCUUUUUUGAUUUCUCUUAGCCGGUAUUUGAUUGUUUUUCUCCCGUCUCUUUUAUUUUCCUAGUACCGUUCAUCGCGUUAUGGCAUCGCAUGCUUUUUUCGCAGCGCCUUUGAAAAUAUGAAACCAUGUAUCGUAUAACGUGAGACGCCACCCAGGUUAAGGCGAAAGGGAAUCCGGUCCUGAUUCCGGAACCAGGCUGCGGCUACGUCCGCGAUAAAACGACUUUAACCCUCGUAAUGUCACGGUCGCGGUAACGCGACACAAACCGGAGAAGCUGCCGAGAACCCCGGGAAGAGUUUUCUUUUCUGCUUGAGGGACCGAGACCCUGGAAUCCCGUCGCGGGGCGAGAGGGUUAUGGAUUUAGCUGUCAAAGGCUAUCCCGAAGAGCGUCGCGUUUCUGCGACGUCCGUGGUCGUUCUCGGCUGGCCCUUGAAAAUCCGGUGGGAGGGUUACGUUGUUGGACGUUCGCGCCUGCUCGUACCGAUAUCCGCAUCAGGUCUCCAAGGUGAACAGCCUCUAGUCGAUGGAUGAAUGUGGGUAAGGGAAAUCGGCAAAUUGGAUCCGUAACUUCGGGAUAAGGAUUGCUCUG
rfam:Daphnia pulex DAPPTscaffold_1482_Cont12948, whole genome shotgun sequence.